rnacentral:rRNA from 1 species
UGGGGAAUAUUGCACAAUGGAGGGAACUCUGAUGCAGCGACGCCGCGUGAGUGAUGAAGGAAUUCGUUUCGUAAAACUCUGUUCUAUGGGAAGAAAAGGACUGUACCAUAGGAGAAAGCUCCGGCUAAAUACGUGCCAGCAGCCGCGGUAAUACGUAUGGAGCGAGCGUUGUCCGGAAUUAUUGGGCGUAAAGGUUGCGCAGGCGGCUUUACAAGUUGGAUGUGAAAUAUUGUGGCUCAACCACAAACGUGCAUCCAAAACUGCAAAGCUUGAGUUAAGGAGAGGUAAGUGGAAUUCCUGGUGUAGCGGUGGAAUGCGUAGAUAUCAGGAGGAAUACCGGUGGCGAAGGCGACUUACUGGAAUUAAACUGACGCUCAGGCACGAAAGCGUGGGGAGCAAACAGG